rnacentral:tRNA from 1 species
GGUCGUUUAGCUCAGCUGGGAGAGCACCUCCUUACAAGGAGGGGGUCACUGGUUCGAUCCCAGUAACGACCACCA